rnacentral:rRNA from 1 species
UUUUAUGGAGAGUUUGAUCCUGGCUCAGGAUGAACGCUGGCGGCGUGCCUAAUACAUGCAAGUCGAGCGAACAGACGAGGAGCUUGCUCCUCUGACGUUAGCGGCGGACGGGUGAGUAACACGUGGAUAACCUACCUAUAAGACUGGGAUAACUUCGGGAAACCGGAGCUAAUACCGGAUAAUAUAUUGAACCGCAUGGUUCAAUAGUGAAAGACGGUUUUGCUGUCACUUAUAGAUGGAUCCGCGCCGCAUUAGCUAGUUGGUAAGGUAACGGCUUACCAAGGCAACGAUGCGUAGCCGACCUGAGAGGGUGAUCGGCCACACUGGAACUGAGACACGGUCCAGACUCCUACGGGAGGCAGCAGUAGGGAAUCUUCAGCAAUGGGCGAAAGACUGACGGAGCAAAGCAGCGUGAGUGAUGAAGGUAUUCGGAUCGUAACUCUCUGUUAUUAGGGAAGAACAAAUGUGUAAGUAACUAU